GUGAUGGUGAUGAUGAUGAUGAUGAGAGAGACAGUCCGGAGAGAGGGCUCUGUUUAUUAACCAUACUGGCUGCGCUUGCAUGAGACCUGAGCUCAGCACUCACAGCACACAUCAUGGCGGCUCACAACCAUCAGUUCCAGGAUAUCUGGCUCCUUAGGUGCCUGCAUGCACACAGCGCAUGCUCACGGGCAUACACCCGCCAUGUGUAAAAAUAAAAAUAAAUUUUAGAGCCUGGAGAGAGGUCUUGCCAGGUAAGGGAAGAGACUGCUCACACAGAGAACCUGGGUUUGACCCCCAGCACUCACAUGGUGGCUCACAACGAUCUGCAACUUCCGUUCCAGGGACUCCUAUGCCGCUUCUGGCCUCGAAAGGCACCGGGCACCUGGCAUGUAUGUGGUGCACAUGCAUUUACACAGACAGGCUGGCACACGCUGAGGGGAGGACCCACAGCCUUCCACGAUCAAUCACAGUCCUAACGCAGGCACGCCCCACACUUCCUGCAACAACCUGUGUAACUUAGUCACGAACAUAUACUGAGAUGUGGCCCUGGGCUCUUGGAGAUGUGAUUUUGGAUGGUAUGAAAACAAAUGUUCACUACCUGUCACUUCUGUCGGUUUGUCUGUGAUAGGGACGGAAUCCAGAGCUUUCUGUGGGCUAGGAAAGCACUCAAAGCAUAAACCACGCUCCCAGUCCCUCACUGGGGAUUCUAGGCAGGGGCUCUACCACUGAGCCACGCCCCCAGCCCCUCACUGGGGAUUCUAGGCAGGGGCUCUACCACUGAGCCACGCCCCCAGACCCUCACUAGGGGAUUCCAGGCUGGGGAUGUAUCACUGAACUACAUUCCCACCUCUUUUUUUUUUUAUUUUAAAAUACAUGUUUUGUUUCGUUAUUGAGGUUGGACUGGCUGUAUAGACCAGGCAGGUCUCAAACUUGUUCCUCCCCACCACCACCCGUCCCUCAGCCUCUCAAGUGUCUGGGAUCCAUGUACUCCUUUACCUUUUGCAGUAAAUGAACUCUUGUUUGUG
rnacentral:sRNA from 1 species